rnacentral:rRNA from 1 species
GUGGGGAAUAUUGGACAAUGGGGGGAACCCUGAUCCAGCCAUGCCGCGUGUGUGAAGAAGGCAUUUUGGUUGUAAAGCACUUUAAGUGGGGAGGAGGCUUACCUGGUUAAUACCUGGGCUAAGUGGACGUUACCCACAGAAUAAGCACCGGCUAACUCUGUGCCAGCAGCCGCGGUAAUACAGAGGGUGCGAGCGUUAAUCGGAUUUACUGGGCGUAAAGCGCGCGUAGGUGGUUAAUUAAGUCAAAUGUGAAAUCCCCGAGCUUAACUUGGGAAUUGCAUUCGAUACUGGUUGGCUAGAGUAUGGGAGAGGAUGGUAGAAUUCCAGGUGUAGCGGUGAAAUGCGUAGAGAUCUGGAGGAAUACCGAUGGCGAAGGCAGCCAUCUGGCCUAAUACUGACACUGAGGUGCGAAAGCAUGGGGAGCAAACAGGAUUAGAAACCCUUGUAGUCC